rnacentral:rRNA from 1 species
UACGUAGGGUGCAAGCGUUAAUCGGAAUUACUGGGCGUAAAGCGUGCGCAGGCGGUUCGCUAAGACAGAUGUGAAAUCCCCGGGCUUAACCUGGGAACUGCGUGUGAUACUGGAUGGCUUGAAUUCGGGAGAGGGAUGCAGAAUUCCAGGUGUAGCGGUGAAAUGCGUAGAUAUCUGGAGGAAUACCGGUGGCGAAGGCGGCAUCCUGGACCGAGAUUGACGCUGAACGGCGAAAGCUAGGGGAGCAAACGGG